AAGGGGCUUUGGCCUUUUUCAUAAAAAAACUCAAGCGGUAAUAUUCAUAUUUAAACGAAGAAUAGAGAUA